rnacentral:rRNA from 1 species
GAUGAACGCUAGCUACAGGCUUAACACAUGCAAGUCGAGGGACCGGCGCACGGGUGAGUAACACGUAUCCAACCUGCCCUUUACUCGGGGAUAGCCUUUCGAAAGAAAGAUUAAUACCCGAUGUAAAGGAUGGGGAUGCGUUCCAUUAGGUUGUUGGUGCGGUAACGACUCACCAAGCCUUCGAUGGAUAGGGGUUCUGAGAGGAAGUUCCCCCACAUGGGAAUUGAGAACCGGUCCAAACUCAGACGGGAGGCAGCAGUGAGGAAUAUUGGUCAAUGGGCGUUAGCCUGACCCAGCAAAGUAGCGUGAAGUAUGAAUGAUUAUGGGUAGUAAACUUCUUUAAUAUAAGAAUAUGUAUUAUAUGAAUAAGGAUCGGAUAACUCCGUGCCAGCCGCCGCGGUAAUAC